UACGUAGGGUGCAAGCGUUAAUCGGAAUUACUGGGCGUAAAGCGUGCGCAGGCGGUUUUGUAAGACUGUCGUGAAAUCCCCGGGCUUAACCUGGGAAUGGCGAUGGUGACUGCAAGGCUAGAGUUUGGCAGAGGGGGGUAGAAUUCCACGUGUAGCAGUGAAAUGCGUAGAUAUGCGGAGGAACACCGAUGGCGAAGGCAAUCCCCUGGGCCUGCACUGACGCUCAUGCACGAAAGCGUGGGGAGCAAACAGG
rnacentral:rRNA from 1 species